GAGGUGAAAGGCUGGGGUACAAAGUCAUUCCUUGAUGGUCAUGGAGAAGCAUUUAUGCAGGUUAAUAUUUGGAGAACCACCAGCUCCAGUGGCUGCAUGCUCACCAUUAACAUGAAGCAGUUGCUGCUGUGGAUGAGGAGAAAGAUGUCCUGGAUCCUGCUUUGCUGAGAGCUGCUGCAUUAAGUCUCCAGGAGGCUGUUUCACGGUCUGCAGGUCAAUGGAUGCUGCCCCAGCGAGCUCAGCCUCAUGACUUUAAAAGGAUUUGUGACAAGCCAUGAGCCUUGAGAAAAUAAAGCACGAUGAAUUCCCAUCCAUACAGACAGUUCUGAAGAACAUGGACUCAAUCACUCUUAAAUGAGCUCCGUGGGGAUUCCGCGUCCCCUCGUGUGCCAGCAAGAGGCUUUUUACCACCAACCUAUUGAUACCACAUGGCGGAUGAGAGCACCUCCUACUCUCCCUCCCCUCUUUGCUCCAGACCGAAAAGCACUGGGUUGUCUCAGCUUGGCAGAAGAAGAAAUACAAAAAGGGGGAAGCCAAGUUAUGAGUUCGGCUCCAGAGCCCUCCCUGCUCCUUCUGAAGUGUGGGUCCCUUGUUCCAACAAGGGCAUGUGUGCAAACGUGUUUCCUACGAAGCGUUCCCAUGGCAGAGCUCUCAGCGCUCUAUUUAUUUUGCUGGGUUCUCGCUCAGGUCAACCACGAUGCUCUGAAGCGUGGUGGUUUGGACUUGGAGAUGGCUCAUGUGGUCUCCAUUACUGGAGAUCACCACUUAAAAGCCAGCCUUGCCAAGACAGACCAGAGCCUCUCAUUAUCCGACAGCUUUGCCCAAAUUUGA
rnacentral:lncRNA from 1 species